AACGAACGCUGGCGGCAGGCCUAACACAUGCAAGUCGAGCGAGGACUUCGGUCCUAGCGGCGGACGGGUGAGUAACGCGUGGGAACGUGCCCUUUGCUUCGGAAUAGCCCUGGGAAACUGGGAGUAAUACCGGAUGAGCCCUUUGGGGGAAAGAUUUAUCGGCGAAGGAUCGGCCCGCGUUGGAUUAGGUAGUUGGUGGGGUAAUGGCCUACCAAGCCGACGAUCCAUAGCUGGUUUGAGAGGAUGAUCAGCCACACUGGGACUGAGACACGGCCCAGACUCCUACGGGAGGCAGCAGUGGGUAAUCUUAGACAAUGGGGGAAACCCUGAUCGAGCCAUGCCGGGUGAGCGAUGAAGGCCUUAGGGUUGUAAAGCUCUUUCAGCUGGGAAGAUAAUGACGGUACCAGCAGAAGAAGCCCCGGCUAACUCCGUG
rnacentral:rRNA from 1 species